CGAACGGGUGAGUAAUGCGUGACCAACCUGCCCCACGCUCCAGAAUAGCUCUUGGAAACGGGUGGUAAUGCUGGAUGCUCCAACUUGACGCAUGUCUUGUUGGGAAAGUGUUUAGUGGCAUGGGAUGGGGUCGCGUCCUAUCAGCUUGUAGGCGGGGUAAUGGCCCACCUAGGCUUCGACGGGUAGCCGGCCUGAGAGGGCGGACGGCCACAUUGGGACUGAGAUACGGCCCAGACUCCUACGGGAGGCAGCAGGA
rnacentral:rRNA from 1 species